UGGGGAAUAUUGCGCAAUGGGCGAAAGCCUGACGCAGCAACGCCGCGUGAGUGAUGAAGGCCUUCGGGUCGUAAAGCUCUGUCGGAGGGAACGAAUGCUCCUGAAGUUAACAGCCUCAGGAGGUGACGGUACCCUCAAAGGAAGCACCGGCUAACUCUGUGCCAGCAGCCGCGGUAAUACAGAGGGUGCAAGCGUUGUUCGGAUUUACUGGGCGUAAAGGGCGCGUAGGCGGCAUGACAAGUCACUUGUGAAAUCUCUGGGCUUAACCCAGAACGGCCAAGUGAUACUGUCGCGCUAGAGUGCAGAAGGGGCAAUCGGAAUUCUUGGUGUAGCGGUGAAAUGCGUAGAUAUCAAGAGGAACACCUGAGGUGAAGACGGGUUGCUGGGCUGACACUGACGCUGAGGCGCGAAAGCCAGGGGAGCAAACGGGAUUAGAUACCCUAGUAGUCCCUGAGCGGGCUGGCAAGGCGCAU
rnacentral:rRNA from 1 species